UGCAAGUCGAGCGAAUGGAUUAAGAGCUUGCUCUUAUAGAAGUUAGCGGCGGACGGGUGAGUAACACGUGGGUAACCUGCCCAUAAGACUGGGAUAACUCCGGGAAACCGGGGCUAAUACCGGAUAACAUUUUGAACUGCAUGGUUCGAAAUUGAAAGGCGGCUUCGGCUGUCACUUAUGGAUGGACCCGCGUCGCAUUAGCUAGUUGGUGAGGUAACGGCUCACCAAGGCAACGAUGCGUAGCCGACCUGAGAGGGUGAUCGGCCACACUGGGACUGAGACACGGCCCAGACUCCUACGGGAGGCAGCAGUAGGGAAUCUUCCGCAAUGGACGAAAGUCUGACGGAGCAACGCCGCGUGAGUGAUGAAGGCUUUCGGGUCGUAAAACUCUGUUGUUAGGGAAGAACAAGUGCUAGUUGAAUAAGCUGGCACCUUGACGGUACCUAACCAGAAAGCCACGGCUAACUACGUGCCAGCAGCCGCGGUAAUACGUAGGUGGCAAGCGUUAUCCGGAAUUAUUGGGCGUAAAGCGCGCGCAGGUGGUUUCUUAAGUCUGAUGUGAAAGCCCACGGCUCAACCGUGGAGGGUCAUUGGAAACUGGGAGACUUGAGUGCAGAAGAGGAAAGUGGAAUUCCAUGUGUAGCGGUGAAAUGCGUAGAGAUAUGGAGGAACACCAGUGGCGAAGGCGACUUUCUGGUCUGUAACUGACACUGAGGCGCGAAAGCGUGGGGAGCAAACAGGAUUAGA
rnacentral:rRNA from 1 species